GACAGAAAGACCCUAUGAAGCUUUACUGUAGCUUGGAAUUGAAUUUGGGUUUAUUUUGUGCAGUAUAGGUGGGAGGCUAAGAUAUUAUAUUUGCGGGUAUAAAGGAGCCAACAGUGAGAUACCACUCUAAUUAAACUAGAAUUCUAAUCUUGUAACCGUUAUCCGGUCAAGAAACAGUUUCAGGUGGGCAGUUUGACUGGGGCGGUCGCCUCCUAAAAAGUAACGGAGGCGUGCAAAGGUUUCCUCAGACUGGUCGGAAAUCAGUCGUAGAGUGUAAAGGCAAAAGGAAGCUUGACUGCAAGACCUACAAGUCGAGCAGAGACGAAAGUCGGCCUUAGUGAUCCGACAGUACUGAGUGGAAAGGCUGUCGCUCAACGGAUAAAAGUUACUCUAGGGAUAACAGGCUGA
rnacentral:rRNA from 1 species